UGAGCUGGGUUUGGUGGAACGUUCACGUCAUAUAGUAAAGAAGCCAAGUUAGCCCUCUUAACUAACUGCAUUACCGAUGGAUGAUAGAUAACAACGGAGAAGAAAUGCUCAAAACAGGAGGCGUCUACGACAUCUUCUAGUUCUGAUCAAUUUUGUUCGGGGCGGAGGAGGAACAGACGCAAGUGGGGGACACGUGGAUGCCAGAUAAGGACAAAGUGCUGCUGUUCUUCUUUACAGUCAUUCCCCAGCUGCAAUGACAGUACAGAGACACCAAGAUAUGGACAACCCGGAAACACUGACCAUUGAGAGCAGACUGGAAACAGAGUGUUUCAGACAGAGGGCCACACAACCACCAGACACCACAAUGAAUCAUCGAGCAUUCCGUUACAGUAACCUGCUGACACUUGACAGAGUGAUGUAGGUUUUACAUUUUGUGGUAUACCGCCAACAACAGCAUGAAAAACAAGUACUUGAAUCGGUGCUCAUUAAUGGCCAAUCUGCUGUCAUCAAAACGAGACGCUACAGAGAGG